rnacentral:rRNA from 1 species
GAAUCAACGCUGGCGGCGUGCCUCAGACAUGCAAGUCGAACGCGAAAGGUUCCUUCGGGGACCGAGUAGAGUGGCGCACGGGUGAGUAACACGUAGGUAAUUUGCCUUUGGGUGGGGAAUAACUCAGGGAAACUUGAGCUAAUACCGCAUAAUGCAGCGGCUCGACAUCGAGACAGUUGUUAAAGCGGGGGAUUCGCAAGAACCUCGCGCCUAAAGAGAAGCCUGCGGCAGAUAGCUAGUUGGUAAGGUAAUGGCUUACCAAGGCGACGAUCUGUAACCGGCCUGAGAGGGCGGUCGGUCACACUGACACUGACAUACGGGUCAGACUCCUACGGGAGGCAGCAGUCGGGAAUUUUGGGCAAUGGGCGAAAGCCUGACCCACGCAACG